rnacentral:tRNA from 1 species
UCCCCAGUGGCGCAAUUGGUUAGCGCGCGGUACUUAUAAUGCCGGGCUGUGAGUUCGAUCCUCACCUGGGGAA